UCAAUCUAGAUAAAUUAACCCCUUUGUCAAAAUAACCAGGGUAUGCCAUUUAUAUGUGUGACGGUGUGCAUUUAAUUUAAUUCCAGUGUAUUUUCUUUUCUUGCAGCAUGGUGUCCUGAAAUAUGUUGGUUACUGUGAUCCUUUGUUUUCAGAAGUACAGAAAUGUUUGAGGAAGGAGAGAAUAAAUCGUAGAAUAGAAAGCAUGGAAAAUGACAAAAUGAAGAUGAGAGAAUACCGAGCUAGAAUGGCCAAGGGAGAAGCAUAGUCACCAGGGGAUGUUGAAAAUCUGUGUUAAUAUGUGAUAAGUGGUUACAUGUAUGCUUGUGUUACAAGAGACUGAGAGGAAAAUGAAAGUGUGAUAUCUACUCAUGACAGUAUUACAUAGACUGAAAAGCUCAAAUGACAGAGGAAAGAAUUCCAUUAUUGGUUAUGCAGUGAGUACAGCAUGUGAUAUGUGUGUAAUGAGUAAGUUUAGAGUCAAAAAAUUAUAAAUGUGUUCAUGGAUUAUCUGUACAUGGAGGGAAAGAGUAAUAAUGGCUCUAUACUUUUAUUUGUUGUGGACAAGUUUGUCAAUUUUAGGAGCAAGAAAUAAGGUCAAUGAUCAUGGCUAUGAGUGUGUGUGGGAGGAACUAAUUGAACUUUUUUUAAAAAUAUAAUUAUUGAUUUUUGACGUUUUUAGAUAUCCACUGUGUGACUGUUAAAUCUCAUAAUUUAUUAAAUAUGCAUAGAAUGUGUCCCAAAAUUA